ACUUUUUGGUUGGUUAAAAUGCAAAAUGGUUAUGACCGAAGAAAAGAAACUUGAGUUGAUUUCUUUAUCACUAUUCCAUGGAAUAUUUGUUGUUAAGACUAUGUGAAAUGGAAAGAAUAUAAAAAAACGGACACAGACAAACAAUUAUGCACACAUUAUGCAUGGAAAUAUUUCGAAACAGGAUGUUGAAGAUCUCAAGAGGUCACUAUUUUACUGUCUUGUAGGUCUGAAUGCCAUCUCUGAUUUAGAAGAAGGUGUGCUCUAUCAUAGAUAGUUCAGUUUGCAAAAGGGAAUUUUUGACACAGACCUGUCUUUACAAAGUCCAAAACUACUUUAGCGUAAGGGCUGGAAGAACUGUCAAUUGAAGAAUGUCAAAAUUGUCGGAGAUCAAAAAAAGAAAACAGAAGACGGAUGGUGACGUCUCUUACUAACAGAUACAACACAGAAGAAUAUCGUUGAGUCUGGACCUUACCCCAACAAGGAUGGUGAAGGAGUCUUGUCCUGUCCUCUUUCCCAAUUGUUGACUCUCUAAAAAGAACAUCCCAAUGGAGAAGAACAUAUCUAAAAUGUUACAUGUCAGUUUUCAGCUGCAAUGUUGGUGGAGGAAUAACGCUGGACAGAUCAAGCUGAAUUAUUCACAUCCAAAACAUCAAACAAAGAAAAAGUGAAUCAUAUUGUUGGAAAAUGUUUAGUGACUGUAUUCUAGGUAAUUGAAUUUGUACAAAUUUUUAAGCUAAUAAAACUGUCUUUAUCUUUUGUGAUAACGAAUAA